GACGAACGCUGGCGGCGUGCUUAACACAUGCCAGUCGAACGGUGAAGCGCCUUCCUUUUUGGUGGGUGUGGAUGAGUGGCGAACGGGUGAGUAACACGUGAGUAACCUGCCCCCUUCUUCUGGAUAACCGCAUGAAAGUGUGGCUAAUACGGGAUAUUCUGGGUCUUUUGCAUUAUUGGUCUGGGAAAGAUAUUGUUUCGGUGGGGGAUGGGCUCGCGGCGUAUCAGCUUGUUGGUGGGGUGAUGGCCUACCAAGGCGGUGAAGGGUAGCCGGCCUGAGAGGGUGGGCGGUCAGACUGGGACUGAGACACGGCACAGACUCAUACGGGAGGCAGCAGGGGGGAAUAUUGCACAAUGGGCGCAAGACUGAUGCAGAGACGCGGCGGGAGGGAGGGAGGCCGUCGGGUUGUGAACCUCUUUCGCCAGUGAAGCAGGCAUGCCUCGUUUGUGGGUGGGUUGACGGUAGCUGGAGAAGAAGCGCCGGCUAACUACGUG
rnacentral:rRNA from 1 species